rnacentral:tRNA from 1 species
GGAGGGUUCGCAUAGCGGUCUAGUGCGUACGCUUGGAAAGCGUAUGUGGGGAAACCCACCGAGGGUUCGAAUCCCUCACCCUCCG